AAAACAUCGCCUUUAGCUAAACAAGUAUUAAAGGUACCGCCUGCCCAGUGAGCCCCCUUAAACGGCCGCGGUACUCUAACCGUGCAAAGGUAGCGUAAUCACUUGCCCCCUAAAUAGGGGCUAGUAUGAAUGGCUAAAUGAGGGCCUAUCUGUCUCCUGCGACAAGCCAAUGAAACUGCUCUCUCAGUACAAAAGCUGAGAUAACCCCACAAGACGAGAAGACCCUGUGGAGCUUCUAAGCACCACACUAACCCCACUCAACCACCCAUAGUGCCUAGCUUUUAGUUGGGGCGACUACGGAGAUAACCCGAACCUCCGUGAACCAGGAUCUACUCCAUCUAAGGCAAACAAGCCUAAGAUACUAGCAACCCUUUGACCCAGCACCGCUGAACAACGAACCAAGUUACCCCAGGGAUAACAGCGCAAUCCUCCCCAAGAGUCCCUAUCGCCAGGAGGGUUUACGACCUCGAUGUUGGAUCAGGACACCCAGGCGGUGCAGCCGCUGCCAAAGGUUCGUUUGUUCAACGACUAAUGUCCUAC
rnacentral:rRNA from 1 species